AUGCACUUUGAAACUUUCGAAGAAGCAAAGAACUUCUACAACGUCUAUGCAAAGGACGCGGGUUUUGCUGUCAGGGAAGGCCCCAAGUUUAAGACCAGAGCAUACCUUUAUUGCACGUGCUAUGGAGUCUAUGAAUCGAAGGUGUCAGAAGCUAAUAGACAGCGGAACAAGACGACAACCAGGACUAACUGCGGGGCUAAAAUGAGGCUGAAGAGGGAAAAGGAUGGAACAUUUGUCGUAAAAGAGAUAGUCUGGGAACACAACCACAGGCUACAGCUCACUCCGCAAAUGCUUGUCUUCUUGCACUCCCACAUAAACUUUCACAAAACAAUCUUGGAGUACGUCAAGUACCUGCAGUUCAAAGGCAUUGAACACGCGCAAAUCAUGAGCAUACUGGGUGGUGAUGACCCUGAUAGCUACUUCCUCGAAAUGAAUGCCAAAGACCUGAUUAACCUGAAAGCAAAGAAUUCAAGGAUGGAUGAUGUGGACGAUGUCCUAAAGACUGUCAACUUCUUUAGGGAGAUGAAAACUAUAAACAGGGAAUUCUUCUGUGACAUGCAACUCGAUGAGUCCAACAGAGUUAAGAACAUAUUCUGGGCAAAUGCAAGCUGCCGAGGGGCCUAUCAGGACUUUGGUGACUACCAUAUGCCACUUGGGGUGUUUGUCGGUACUAACAACCACUUACAGACUACAUUCUUUGGUUUCGCCCUGAUAAGAGAUGAGGAUGCAGAUUCAUUCAGAUGGAUGUUCAAGACAUUUUUAAGGUGCAUGAGAGGGAAGGAUCCUACAUGCAUCCUCACAGACCAGUGCCCGGCAAUGGCUUUGGCGAUCCCAGAUGCUUUCGGGAACAUGGUACACAAGCUACGCCGCUGGCACAUUAUGAAGAAGUACAUGGAACACCUCGCAUACCUGUACUACCUCCACGAAGACUUUAAGGAUGAAUUCACAUCAAUCCUCAACUGGCCCCUCAUGCCAACUGAGUUUGAGGCUGCCCUGAAAAGACUCAUGGAUAAGUACAACCUCCAUGAUGAUGCCACGAUGGUGGCCAUGUGGAACGAGCGUGAGAGAUGGAUAUCAGCCUACUUCAAAGAAAUUUUCUGUGCCAAAAUGACAUCCACACAACGAAGUGAGAGCAUGAACUAUGUGCUCAAGAAGAACUUCGUAAGUGAGAGACAAAACCUACACCGGUUUGUCAGCCAGGUAAACUCCUGCGUCAAAACAAGGAGGCAGACAGAGAACCAGGAGACAAUGGGUAACCGGGUAUAG
rnacentral:rRNA from 1 species